rnacentral:lncRNA from 8 species
AUUUACAUUUGCAUAUCCACUGAUGUACCAUAUAGACAUAGUCCAACCAUAACCUACGGACAAUUAUAUCAGGAAAUUAGACUGGCACUGCAAGGCUAAUCAUUAAUUACACUGUAUCAUACACAUUUCAAUGUUGCUGAUGUGCACACCAUAAACAAUGAAGAUGAGGUCAGAGUACUGAUGUGUUUCUUCAAAAUGAGCUGCCUAGGACUAGGACUAGGCCAAAGCUCUGUGAUGAAACUUUGCAUCAAGGUUAGACGCUUCUAAUUGGGUCCUAUACAGUUUCCCAUAAUUCACAUAGCUACAAGGUUAUAGACACAGUAUGUUAUGUGUGAAAACAUUACAACAGGCUGAAGAUCACACCAUGAGUCCUAUCUUAUUCAUAAUAUCUUUACUGGUUAAGUUGGCAGAGACAGCUGAUAUCUACCCAGCAAAGCUCUUUGGAGCUAGUACCCACAUGAGAGAAGGAAAGACUGUUGAUGUGAAGUGCAGCACUACAGGCACCAGGAAACCGUUGAGCAAGGUCUAUGUUUACCUUUGCAAGAAUGGAAGUGGAAUGAGAGUAAGAGAGCUGGAGAAAGGUGAAGAUGACACCAUUUUCACCAUCAAGGAUGUUGAACGAGAGGACUCAGGCAUCUACAGCUGUGUGUACGCCAUAGAAAAACUAAAACUCAGUCAAGUGAACGCAACAGGUGUGAAUCUAGUCAUCAUUCAGGUCUACAAGGAUGGAGAAGAAGAGGUUCAUCAAGAGGUCCAUGAAGUGGCUGCACGUGAUGUGAGACUGGUCAAUGUUAUCCGAUUGAUAAGUUCAGUUGUUGUGGUGAUACUUCUUUUGUCUGUAAUGUAUGUUAGUUACUACUGUCCAAACAUAUAAUGAUCUGUUUCCUGGAUGACAUACAGUACACUAGUGAUGCACUGACAGAAUUACAAUACUAUUUUCUUGAUAAUUCUUACACGUAAUCUACAGUAGGCCUACAUUUCCCUGUGCUCCUCACUCAUGACACAAUUAUAAUUGAAUUUGAAAGAAUGUUGAUUGAACCUACCAGACUAGGUUGUUGUCGAUAUCAAUCAGGCCUAUGGUUUUGUGGGUGGGGUGGUGGGUAAAAUGUUCAAUAAACUGUACAUAAUUUAAUUAAUUUUGUUAAAAGAAUGUAUGGUGGCAGGCAAGUAAUAAAUAUUGUAUAUUUAAUUAUAAAUCUUCCUGCUGUCUGUGUUUUGAGUCCUGCAGACCAGAAAGUCACACAAUUAAAGAUACUUUUAGGGUAGAGAGAGUUAUC